rnacentral:rRNA from 1 species
UACAGAGGGUGCAAGCGUUGUUCGGAAUUACUGGGCGUAAAGGGCGCGUAGGCGGUUUUGUAAGUCCUGUGUGAAAUCCCCCGGCUCAACUGGGGAAUUGCACGGGAAACUGCGAGGCUUGAGUUCGGGAGAGGGAAGCGGAAUUCCGGGUGUAGCGGUGAAAUGCGUAGAUAUCCGGAGGAACACCGGUGGCGAAGGCGGCUUCCUGGACCGACACUGACGCUGAGGCGCGAAAGCUAGGGGAGCAAACGGG